AAUCGCAUAUAAUUAGUAAUUAGACCCCCAAAAGCGGCAAAAAUAAAGCAACAGCCGAACAAAAGGGUAAAUAUUAAUCUAGGUCGAGAUCCGGCGACGGAGGUUCGUCGGGUUUCGCCCAUUCCGUUUUGGUGCUCCGUUUGUAUAGAUCUACCGGUUCUGUAGAGAGAUUGUUCCGAUCAGACGGCGGAGAGAUGAAGGCCUCUUUGACUCUCGUCGCAUCGGUGGUCGCCGCUUCCACCGCCGCCGUUACUUCCUUUUCCUCCAUUUCCGGUGACCGUGACAUCUCAAUCAAUUCCUGUACUUAUCAGGGAAAAUCGGUAAAUUCACCUCCAAUCUCCUCGGAGAAGGGAAAAUUCGCUCCGAAGUACGAUGGGUUGAAGUUCAUAGAGACACUGAUCACCGCCCACAGGUGAAUAAUCAAAAUGUUCGGCUAUUUUUUUUCUUCAAGAAAGUAAUACAUGUUUAUUUUUUGGGUGAGAAUGUGAAUGGCUCGGAUCGAUUAUUUUGUGGCUCUUGACUUUGAGUCAAAGUGAUGGAUAUCUUGCCUUCUCGUUGUGUAUGUUGAGGAGAAUAAUGAACUUAUGUAAAAGUGUAGGCUUUUUUACGAUUAUUUAACUCAAGGAUGGUAGUUUUCCAUGGUACCCCUUGACUUUUGUUUAGGUUAAUACUCGUGUUGUCUCCUUUUUUUUUAGAUCUAUGUACCUUGGCUUCUUAAUUGUUAACUCUUAUAUACAAAAUUGUUCUGUUAGUUGAUUUGAAGCGGUACCGAGCUUAAUUCUC